GUCUCUUGUCCCGUCCCGUCCUGUCCGGCCUUCGUUCUUGAAUUCGGUCGUUUGUCCGACUGACCUCGCCUCGCUUCUGCCAUGGCCCUCAGCGAUGCUGACGUUCAGAAGCAGACGAAGCACAUGAUGGCUUUUAUUGAACAAGAAGCCAAUGAGAAAGCAGAAGAAAUCGAUGCAAAGGCCGAAGAAGAAUUCAACAUUGAGAAAGGGCGUCUUGUGCAGACCCAGAGACUGAAGAUUAUGGAGUACUAUGAGAAGAAAGAAAAGCAGAUCGAGCAGCAAAAGAAAAUUCAGAUGUCCAAUUUGAUGAAUCAAGCAAGGCUGAAGGUCCUCCGAGCUAGAGACGACCUUAUCACUGAUCUGCUGAAUGAGGCAAAACAGAGACUCAGCAAGGUGGUGAAGGAUACAAACAGAUACCAAGUGCUGCUGGAUGGGCUGGUCUUACAGGGCCUGUACCAGCUGUUGGAGCCCUGGAUGUUUGUGUGCUGCAGGAAGCAAGACUUCCCUCUGGUUAAGGCUGCAGUGCAGAACGCAAUUCUGAUGUAUAAGAUUGUCACCAAAAAAGAUGCUGAUGUCCAGAUUGAUCAGGAGGCCUACCUGCCUGAGGACGUAGCUGGUGGAGUUGAGAUCUACAAUGGGGACCGCAAGAUAAAGGUGUCCAACACCCUGGAAAGCCGGCUGGACCUUAUAGCCCAGCAGAUGAUGCCCAAAGUGCGGGGAGCCUUAUUUGGUGCCAAUGCCAACAGGAAGUUUUUGGACUAA